rnacentral:rRNA from 1 species
UACGUAGGCAGCGAGCGUUGUUCGGAAUUACUGGGCGUAAAGAGUGUGUAGGCGGUGCUCUAAGUUCGGUGUGAAAUCUCCUGGCUUAACUGGGAGGGUGCGCCGGAAACUGGGGUGCUCGAGCGUGGGAGAGGAAAGCGGAAUUCCUGGUGUAGCGGUGAAAUGCGUAGAUAUCUGGAAGAACACCAAAGGCGAAGGCAGUGUCCUGGGUGGUCGCUGACGCUGAGAGGCGAAAGCCAGGGGAGCGAACGGG